CCUCCCCUAUCAGGAACCCUAACUCCUCGAGCUCUCUCUCAGUCUCUCUAGCGCAGUGUCUCAGCGCCGGACCUCCUCCUUCUUUUCCGCCAUCGACGUCGCCGAACAGCACCAUCGCGGCGGUGCGGUCCUUUCCUCUCCCUCUCCCUUCCUCGUAGGCUCGUAGCACUCCUCUCUGUCCCUCAUCCUCGACGGCUCCACACACCACCUCUCCAGUAGCCGUCUCCUCCACGAACCAACAGCCAUCGUCGUCCUCAACGAACCGCAGCAGAACGCACCAGACGCAGUCGAAGCCGCUGCAGUUCGUCGCCCUCUCUCGUUUGUUGUUGAAGCCGUGUCGGUGUCCAGUCUCUUCUUCUCUGUCAUUGAAGCAGUGUUGUCCUUCCAUCUCAGGAAAUGGGAAGGUGAAAGACGAAGAAUUUGUGGAAUUAGUGCACCAAAUAAAAAUUGUGGAAUUAAUUUGGUUGGGGAGAUUAUUAGUAAAUUUGAGAAGAAGGGAUUUUACUUGAAAGGUAACUUCUUUUGUUUUUGUUACUACUUAACAUACGAGCUAACAAUUCAGCUUAGAAACUCCACAAAUUGCUAGUAAUUACAAAGCCUUUCUUUAAUGGAUUGGUCUAAUACAUUAUCUCUAGUUCUAUUGUUGCCAUGGUUUGGGAGGGUAAAGGUGUUGUUGCAACUGGCCAAAAGUUGAUUGGAGCAACAAACCCCUUGGCAUCUGAGCCUAGAACUAUUCAUGGUGGUCUUGCAUCGAAUGUGCUUUCUAUAGAUCUUGCCAUUCAUGGUAGGUUUGCUUGAAGAAGUUUCAUUGUUUUUUGGUGUCGUUGGAGAGGACACCAAGACGUGGCUAUCUGUUGCUGGAAAUUUAUUUUUAUUUUUUGUUGUGUUGACUAUUGAACCUUUAAACUUCUUUAAUUGUCGUAUUUUAAUUUCUUUUGUUGUUGAAUUUCAUUGAAUCGAGACUUUUGUUAGUUAUGGUGUACAUGUAUUCUAUAAUUUCAAUGUUAUG